AUGUUCCCAGGAAGUACCAGUCAUUUACAAUUCAACCAAAAGUGGUGGGAAUUAAAUGUUACAAUUGACCCACAACAGAUAUGUGUAUUUAUUUUACCACAGUACCCUCUGAUAUGUGUAUUUAUACUACCACAGUACCCUCUGAUAUGUGUAUUUAUACUACCACAGUACCCUCUGAUAUGUGUAUUUAUACUACCACAGUACCCUCUGAUAUGUGUAUUUAUACUACCACAGUACCCUCUGAUAUGUGUAUUUAUACUACCACAGUACCCUCUGAUAUGUGUAUUUAUUUUACCACAGUACCCUCUGAUAUGUGUAUUUAUACUACCACAGUACCCUCUGAUAUGUGUAUUUAUACUACCACAGUACCCUCUGAUAUGUGUAUUUAUACUACCACAGUACCCUCUGAUAUGUGUAUUUAUACUACCACAGUACCCUCUGAUAUGUGUAUUUAUACUACCACAGUACCCUCUGAUAUGUGUAUUUAUACUACCACAGUACCCUCUGAUAUGUGUAUUUAUACUACCACAGUACCCUCUGAUAUGUGUAUUUAUACUACCACAGUACCCUCUGAUAUGUGUAUUUAUUUUACCACAGUACCCUCUGAUAUGUGUAUAUAUACUACCACAGUACCCUCUGAUGUGUAUUUAUACUACCACAGUACCCUCUGAUAUGUGUAUUUAUACUACCACAGUACCCUCUGAUGUGUAUUUAUACUACCACAGUACCCUCUGAUAUGUGUAUUUAUACUACCACAAUACCCUCUGAUAUGUGCACUUAUACUACCACAGUACCCUCUGAUAUGUGCACUUAUACUACCACAGUACCCUCUGAUAUGUGUAUUUAUACUACCACAGUACCCAACCCUCUGAUAUGUGUAUUUAUACUACCACAGUACCCUCUGAUAUGUGUAUUUAUACUACCACAGUACCCUCUGAUAUGUGUAUUUAUACUACCACAGUACCCUCUGAUAUGUGUAUUUAUACUACCACAGUACCCUCUGAUAUGUGUUUUUAUACUACCACAGUACCCUCUGAUAUGUGUAUUUAUACUACCACAGUACCCUCUGAUAUGUGUAUUUAAACUACCACAGUACACUCUGAUAUGUGUAUUUAUACUACCACAGUACCCUCUGAUAUGUGUAUUUAUACUACCACAGUACCCUCUGAUAUGUGUAUUUAUACUACCACAGUACCCUCUGAUGUGUGUAUUUAUACUACCACAGUACGUUCUGAUAUGUGUAUUCAUACUACCACAGUACCUUCUGAUAUGUGUAUUUAUACUACCACAGUACCCAACCCUCUGAUA
rnacentral:lncRNA from 1 species